AGCCAGGCCCCGGACGACGCUUCAGGGGUGAACUCGGUCAGGCCCGGAAGGGAGCAGCCGCAGCCACCUGGACGUGCGAUCCGGUUCCGCCUGGCUAUC
rnacentral:SRP_RNA from 1 species